UACGGAGGGUGCGAGCGUUGUCCGGAAUCACUGGGCGUAAAGAGCGCGUAGGUGGCGCGGGCAGUCAACGGUGAAAGUUCGGGGCUCAACCCUGAAUCGGCCGUCGAUACUCCCGGGCUUGAGCACUGUAGAGGCAGAUGGAAUUCCGGGUGUAGCGGUGGAAUGCGUAGAGAUCCGGAAGAACACCGGUGGCGAAGGCGGUCUGCUGGGCAGUAGCUGACACUGAGGCGCGACAGCGUGGGGAGCAAACAGG
rnacentral:rRNA from 1 species